UACGUAGGGUGCAAGCGUUAAUCGGAAUUACUGGGCGUAAAGGGUGCGCAGGCGGAUGAUUAAGUUAGAAGUGAAAUCCCCGGGCUCAACCUGGGAACUGCUUUUAAGACUGGUUAUCUAGAGUUUGUCAGAGGGGGGUGGAAUUUCAAGUGUAGCAGUGAAAUGCGUAGAGAUUUGAAGGAACACCAAUGGCGAAGGCAACCCCCUGGGAUAAAACUGACGCUCAGGCACGAAAGCGUGGGUAGCAAACAGG
rnacentral:rRNA from 1 species